CCUUUUAAAAGCUGUUGAAUGUCUGUAUCUCUUGAUUCCUGUCCCGCUCCUACUGUCAUAAGUUCUGGCAGUUCUUUCGUUACAUCUAUCAUUUCUGGACUUCUUAGCAUGAAUUCCGGAUCCGUCACUUGCAUCAAAAGCUCAGGCAUCUUUUUCAUCAUCGCAGACGUUACUUCCCUUGUUUCCUCGUUAGUGAUCUUCUGAGCGUUCGCAUUUUUCGACUCUAAAUCCAUAUGCGCGGCCGUUAGCUCUGUCUGUCAUCAGCUCUGGAAUCAGU
rnacentral:misc_RNA from 1 species